rnacentral:lncRNA from 10 species
AGAUGAGGUCUUGUUACCUACCAGUCUGAUCUUGAACUCCUGGCCACAUGAAACUUAUUAAAGGAAGUGACCAUAAUACUUUGUACAGUAGCAUAGCACAUUUAUAAUGCACAUUGAACUUCAGGGGAAUAUAUGAAAGCAUAAUGCUAGGCGUGGAGACCAUGAUAGACAAAACACCCUGCUCUUGAGGAGCUCCCAUCGGUCCCC